rnacentral:rRNA from 1 species
UACGUAGGGCGCAAGCGUUGUCCGGAAUUAUUGGGCGUAAAGAGCUCGUAGGUGGUUUGUUACGUCUGCUGUGAAAACCUAGGGCUUAACCCUGGGCCUGCAGUGGAUACGGGCAGACUAGAGGUAGGUAGGGGAGAAUGGAAUUCCCGGUGUAGCGGUGAAAUGCGCAGAUAUCAGGAGGAACACCGGUGGCGAAGGCGGUGAUCUGGGCCGACACUGACGCUGUAGAGCGAAAGCGUGGGGAGCAAACAGG